ensembl:snRNA U2 U2 spliceosomal RNA
UACACUUCCCAGCCGCUGGCUAAGAUCAAGUGCAUCAGCUUUUCUUAUCACUUUAAUAUCUGAUACAUCCCCAGCUUGAAGAUUUUAUAUUAAAUGGAUUUGGAGGGCACAGGAAGGAGCAACUGCUUCCUCCAUCCACUCCAUGAAUCAACCCGAAACUGCAGUGCUUCCAGGUACCAUGGCCACAUU